AUGAGGAUGACGGAAUCCCAGUGGCAAGAAGUAAUUGGUCUAAAUCUUACUGGUGUUUUCCUCUGUACAAAGGCUGCCACAAAAAUAAUGGCGAAGAAAAAGAAGGGAAGAGUCAUCAACAUAGCAUCAGUUGUUGGUCUUACUGGCAAUGCUGGGCAAGCAAAUUACAGUGCUGCCAAGGCUGGGGUCAUUGGUUUCACAAAAGCAGUUGCUAUGGAAUUGGCAAGCAGGAAUAUCAAUGUGAAUGCAACCGCACCUGGAUUCAUCGCAUCUGACAUGACCGCUGAACUUGGAGAGGAGCUUGAGAAGAGAAUCUUGUCAACUAUUCCCUUGGGGAGGUAUGUCCAGCCACUGGAAGUUGCUGGGUUGGUUGAGUUCUUGGCCUUGAAUCCUGGGGCGAGCUACAUCACCGGACAGGUGUUUGUCAUCGAUGGUGGGAUGGUAAUGUGA
rnacentral:rRNA from 1 species